rnacentral:rRNA from 1 species
ACUCCUACGGGAGGCAGCAGUGGGGAAUAUUGCACAAUGGGGGAAACCCUGAUGCAGCCAUGCCGCGUGUGUGAAGAAGGCCUUGGGUUGUAAAGCACUUUCAGUAGGGAGGAAGGUAGUGUAGUUAACACCUGCAUUAUUUGUACGUUACCUACAGAAGAAGCACCGGCUAACUCCGUGCCAGCAGCCGCGGUAAGUACGGAGGGUGCGAGCGUUAAUCGGAAUUACUGGGCGUAAAGCGCAUGCAGGCGGCCUGUUAAGUCAGAUGUGAAAGCCCGGGGCUUAACCUCGGAAUUGCAUUUGAAACUGGCAGGCUAGAGUCUUGUAGAGGGGUUAGAAUUUCAGGUGUAGCGGUGAAAUGCGUAGAGAUCUGAAGG